UUAAUUCGGAUGAUUGGGCGUAAAGCGUCUGUAGGCGGUUUAGAAAGUCUCUUGUGAAAUUCUUCAGCUCAACUGAGGGUCCGCAAAAGAAACUUUCUAGGCUUGAGGGAAGUAGAGGUAUAGGGAAUUUCCCGGUGGACCGGUGAAAUGCGUAGAUAUCGGAAGGAACACCAAUAUGGCGAAGGCACUGUACUGGGCUUUUCCUGACGCUAAGAGACGAAAGCUAAAGGAGUGAUUAGGAUUAGAUACCCUAGUAAUUUUAGCCGUAAACGAUGGAAACUCACUGCCGAGCCGGUAUUCGGAGCGGUGGUCAAGCUAACGCGUGAAGUUUCCCGCCUGGGGAUUACGCAUGCAAAUGUGAAACUCAAAGGAAUUGACGGGGACCCGCACAAGCGGUGGAGUAUGUGGUUUAAUUCGAUGCAACGCGAAAAACCUUACCAAGGUUUGAAAUCAUUUCAAAACUCUUUGAAAGAAGAGCCUCCUUCGGGAUGAAAUGACAGGUGGUGCAUGGCUGUCGUCAGCUCGUGUUGUGAAAUGUCAAGUUAAGUCUUGUAACGAGCGCAACCCAUGUCUUUUGUUGCUGUUUUCAGUGCUUAAAAGAGACUGCCGCUCUACAGCGGAGGAAGGUGUGGAUGAUGUCAAGUCAGCAUGCCCCUUAUAUCUUGGGCUACACACGUACUACAAUGGUAGGGACAAUGAGUCGCAAACCUGCGAAGGCUAGCCAAUCUCAAAAACCCUAUCUCAGUUCGGAUUGUACUCUGCAACUCGAGUGCAUGAAGGUGGAAUCGCUAGUAAUCGCUGGUCAGCAUACAGCGGUGAAUACGUUCCCGGGUCUUGUACACACUGCCCGUCACACCAUGGAAGUCGACUCUUCCCUAAGUCGUUACUCGAACCGUAAGGACGAGGAUGCCGAAGGCAGGGUUGGUGACUAGGGUGAAGUCGUAACAAGGUAGCCGUAAAUCG
rnacentral:rRNA from 1 species